GUUUCCGUAGGUGAACCUGCUGCUGGAUCAUUACCCGCACCGUGAUGGUCACAUUACGCAGAACGGCUUAUUUCGAAAUUUACAAGAGGAAUAAGCGCGCUUCCAAUGCAGCCUGGAAGUGAACGGCUAACGCUGGUGUCUGGGUGUCGCUGAGCAGACUGUCUUCGUCCGUGGUUGUGAUGAGGCGACGCGUUAGGACUGUGCGCAUAGCAGCCGCAUGCAGUUUAAGACUCAAUGAGCCCAUGGCUACGGGCCGCCAGCAUUUAUUUUUUUAAUAAUUUUUUUAAACAAGAAACAAGAAUUUUAAUCUUAUCGGUGGAUCACUCGGCUCGUGGGUCGAUGAAGAGCGCAGCUAACUGCGAUAACUAGUGUGAACCGCAGAAACAUUGAACACUAAAGUCUCGAAUGCACAUUGCGCCAAUGGAGUCAUAUCCAUUGGAGCGCCUGGUUUAGGGUCAUAAAAGACACAAAAGCAAGAAACUUUGCUGGAACGAGAAUAUUCAUAUGAGCAGAACUGUAUGCGUAAUUUAAUGCUGGAAAUGGAUUUGUUGCUUUGUGUGUGGGUGCUUAUGUUCUUAGCCUGUGGAAAUAUAGCAUCGAAGAUAGCGCACACAACAACAAGUUCCAAUAAUCAGAAUUGUGACCUGAACUCAGACGUGACUACCCGCUGAACUUAAGCA
rnacentral:rRNA from 1 species